GGCCAUCCAGUCCAACCUUAUUGUCCCAGGCAGGAAAAGGCAAAACACUCCCGACCCAGCCACUACUUAAAACACCCGACUCCCAGGCAGCGUAUUCCAUCACCGGACAGCUCUUGUUGUGAAGUAGUUCUUCCCAAGGUUUAGAUGGGUUUCCUUGCAGCUGGAACCCAUUUCUCCGCGUCCUAGUCUCUAGAACAGAAUUUAUUUACAGUAGAGUCUCAGUUAUCCAAGCUAAACGGGCCAGCAGAAGCUUGGAUAAGCGAAUAUCUUGGAUAAUAAAGAGAGAUUAAGGAAAAACCUAUUAAACAUCAAAUUAGGUUUUGAUUUUACAAAUUAAGCACCAAAACAUCAUGUUAUACAACUAAUUUGACAGAAAAAGUAGUUCAAUACGCAGUAAUGCUAAGUAGUAAUUACUGUAUUUAUGAAUUUAGCACUAAAAUAUCAUGGUAUAUUGAAAACAUUGACUACAAAAAUGGCUUGGAUUAUCCAGAGGCUUGGAUAAGCAAGGCUUGGAUAAGUGAGACUCUACUGUAUUUAUUAUUUAUUUAGAGUGUUUAUAUUCCGCCCUUCUCACCCCGAAGGGAACUCAGGGCGGAUCACAUUACACAUAUAAGGCAAACAUUCAAUGCCUUUAACAUAGAACAAAGACAAGACAAACAUAGGCUCCGAGCUGGCCUCGAACUCAUGACCUCAUGGUCAGAGAGAUUUGUUGCAGCUGGCUGCAGCUGGCUGGCUGCUCACUAGCCUGCGCCACAGCCCGGGCCUUUGCCCUCUUCGCAGAUAUCUUUUCAAAUAGUUAAACAAUGGCUAUCAGGUUCCCCCGCACACACAGCCUUCUUUUCUCCAAGUUAAACAUAUCCAUCUCCCUAAGCCACUCCUCAAAGAGCUUGGCUUCCAGACCUUUGAUCAUUUUGGUUGCCCUUCUCUGGACAUAUUCCAUACAUCUAAGAAAAUCCAACAAAUGUCACUUCAGCAAAGGAUAAGAGGGAUCCUCUCACCUCUGCAGGAGUCUACCUUAUACUGUACCAUGCAGUUGUGGACAAGGCUACAGAGGGAACGCCAAACGCAGCACCAUUGCCCAGAUACGCAUCAAGGAACAUGAAAGGCACUGCAGACAAACUCAGCCGGAGAGGUCAACCAUAGCAGAGCACUUGAUGAACCAGCCUGGACACAACAUAUUAUUUGAGAACACAGAAAUGCUGGAUCACUCUCACAACCACCAUGUCGGACUACACAGACAAGCCACUAAAAUCCACAAACGUGGACAAUUUCAACAGAAACGAGGAAACCAUGAAAAUGAACAAAAUCUGGCUACCAGUAUUUUUUUAAAAAAACUUCUAGAAUCAGGACAGUAAAUACUUAACAAUACUCUAAAACAGGAGAGUUCCAGACAAGAAACAAUCAGGGGCAGCUAACACCUCCCAACAAAGGAUUCCCCCAUGCAGUAAGCAGGCAGGCCUUGAAGCUGCAAGGACAUUCAAUGCUAAUCAAGGUGAUCAAUUGCAACAUUCACAUUUGCCUCAAGCAGACAAGAGUUCUUCCCCCCACCCUGGACAUCUUUCCACAGACAUUUAAACCCCACUUGUCUUGUUUCCAACACCUCACAACUUCUGAGGAUGCCGGCCACAGAUGUGGGUGAAACAUCAGGAGAGAAUGCUUCUGGAACAUGGCCAUACAGCCUGGAAAACUCACAGCAACCCACUCUUAGAUCCCUUUCAUUUGGUCUAUUUUCAAGCCAGAUGACACUUGUCUUAUACCUGUGCAUUUCAUCUUUAUUGCCUGAGUGCAAAAAAAAAAAAAAAAGGUAAAGGUUUCCCCUGACGUUAAGUCCAGUCGUGACCGACUCUGGGGGUUGGUGCUCAUCUCCAUUUCUAAGCCGAAGAGCCGGUGUUGUCCAUAGACAUCUCCAGGUCAUGUGGCCGGCAUGACUGCAUUGAGUGCUGUUACCUUCCCGCUGGAGCGGUACCUAUUGAUCUACUCACAUUUGCAUGUUUUCGAACUGCUAGGUUGGCAGGAGCUGGGGCUAACAGCGGGUGCUCAUUCCGCUCCCGGGAUUUGAACCUGCAACCUUUUAGCCUGAGUGUAGUACUGUGCAUUUUUCAGUCUUGAUGUUCAUUUUAUUAGUUUUGGCCCAUUUGCUAGCCUACAGUAUUUGUGCAAAAGGGAUGAAAGGCAGAUCUUGUGCCUUCAACUUAUGAUGAACCUAAACAUUUCAGAUAAUUUUCUGAGCAGGUGGUUUCUCCAGUUCCUCCUUCUGAAUUACAGCAGUGUCCAACCCCUGCUAUUGUUUGGUGGUCUCCCGUCCAGGUAUGAAGCAGAGCUGGUUCUGUUUAGUUCCCAACACCAGAAGAGACUGGGCAUCUUUAGAGUACAGGAUCCUCCCCUUCUCUCUUUCCCUCUCAACACUUCAGCAAGUGAUGUAUCCUAGGAUUCCUUUGUCUGCAACCAGAGCCAUUAAAGUAGCAUCAAACUACUCCAAUGCUGCAGUGUGGAUAUGCUCCCCAACUCCAGAAAGGCUGGCAGGAAAUGCUCCAGCUUCUCAAACCUCAAAGAGGACAAUAUUUGCUUUAAAAAUAUUAAAUGUCUGUCUGUGCGCCAUCCCUGACUGCCCUUCAUCAGCACCCACUUUUUGGGCUGUGAAGUUGAAGGGAAUCGAUAAAAUGCGGCUGGCUGAGUCCCUCUCCAAAGAAGAAAGGAAGGAAGUAACGCAGGAUGGAGACUGUUAAGGUGGAGAUGCAAGUGGUAUUUUUGCAUGCAAUGCUUUUAAAUCCCCCUCUGCAUGGCUUGAUUGGGGUGUCUUUAUUUCUGUGUUUUGAAAGAGUCUUCCUCUGCUUUCUAUUCUUGCCCUGUCCAUAUCCUUAGCCAAUAUGGACAAGGUCACUGCGAGCAUCACACUUGAAAACUUUUCUGUUCCUGGUUUGAAAGUGUUAUUUCCUGUUUAAUUGUGUGGUACUUACUUUGUAAGUAGUUGUUAUACUCCAGAAACUUCAUUUUUGUGGCUGCCACAAAGUAGGUUGAAUUGGUUGAGGCUCAAUGAGAUAGUCAUUGAAAAACUACAGCAAAAUGUGUUGCAGGAUGUCCCACAAAACCAAAAAUUUUGCAGUUUAAUUAACCUUUCCCAUGCUUUUAUGAUAGAACCAAUGAGGAAAUGACAUGUAUAACCCAGGAACAAAAAUCAUGUCAUUGGCCCCUGAUGCCCAGCCAUACUUUUGGGAUGUUUUUCAGCAGCCUUCCUACCACCGCUUUCCAAAUUUUACAAAGCAUUUCAGUGCCGUGGCUAUCUAUAAUGUGUUUCACAUCCUGCAUUCUGCGUAAAGGCCUAUCUACACUGACCAUUUGAGUCAGUUUGAAACCUGCAUAGAAGAAAGCAGUUUCAGUGUGAGGGUGAUAACAUUAGAAACCCUGGAAUUGGUUCAAGGCAUGAGUGCUGUUCACACAAAUUGCAGGUGCUGGUCUUGAAUCAGUUCCAGGAUUUAUUAUUAUUUUAUUUAUUUACUUUAUUUAUACCCCGCUUUUCUCCCUGUAGGUAAUCAAGGUGGCUAACAACCAUGCACUUUCAUCAGGAUCUGUGACUUGUCAGCUGUGGAGAAGGAAAGGUUUUUUAAAGAUCUCCCCACAUAUGCAAAUCACCAGCGUGCGUUCAAUGUCCACACAGCAGUUUGUAUUCUGUGAAGUCUCUUUCACUGUGCAAUGUGGUAGAAAACAUUGAUGCGCAUUAAGGGCUCUAUUUCAGACUAUUCCCCAACUUUGUUUAUAUCAGUUUAAAACCCUUAAAGCAUGCUACAACACACUUUUUCAGCAUGUGUUAUAUAUCUGACACACUUUCAAGCUGCAUGAAAUAGCCAGUAUAGAUGAGCCAGUGCCACAGAUUUUAUUGUUUCUCUGGAGGCCCAAGUGGCACAUGAAGCACCUCUGGGAACCAAGUCUGAUGUAGGCCACUUUGAGCUGGAUAAUUUUUAGCUUGAGGAAGAGAAGAUUUGGAGGUGACAUGCUAUUUUAAAUGUCAUAUAAAUGGAGCAGUGGAUCCACAAAGCAAUGGAUUCACAUUACAGGAAAAGAGAUUUGAUCCAAACAUUGGGAUAUUAUCAUCAGCGAAUCCUCAUGUCUGAGUAUAAUUGCCAUCCAAAUGUAAGGUCUUGGUGAUGGCUCCGUAGGUGACUGUAGAGACCUAUUCUUGACCCGCAUGUUCUUUUCUAGUGAGGACAUCGAUUUCCAGUUGGAAGGUUGUCCCAACAAGGAAUGGUUGAUGCACCUUCCUCUUGACACAUUUCUCCCUUUCGCCCUCCAUCCGUGCCUCCACAGCACUGUUGGUAACAGCUGACCUCCAGCUAGAGCGCUCAAGGAUGAACUGCCUCCACUGAGCUGUUAGCAGAUGUUAGCUUGCAAGCUUUUUGCAAGCUCCCUUCCUCUUCCUCUCAAUCUGUAGCCAUCUGAACAAGUUACUUCUCAGCUGUGCAAAGAAACCAGCAACCAAGAUGUCAUAACUGUGCCUCAGCAGAGACACCAUGUCAAGACAAAAAGCUCCCUGGAAAGGCAUGCAUAAGUGAAGUGACUCCUGUCUGCUUUAUCGGUUCUCUGCCAGCGUUACUGGCAAAACCAGGGGCAGAAAGAAGAUGAGUAGGUGUGUAUAUUCCCUCCAUUGAGAUCACUAGCCUUGUGAAAAUUGCUUAUUAUUUUACUUAGAAGUCCUCAUCUGUAAAAUCAAAAUAUGUUUUUCCUUCUUUUGGGUACCUUUGCAGGCCUAAGGGUGCAUCUACACUGUAGAAGAAAUGCAGUUGGAUACCACAUUAACUUCAAUGGCCUGAUGCUAUGGAAUCAUAUGAAUUUUACAAGGUCUUUAGUCUUCUCUGCUAAAGAGCUCUGGUACCUCACCAAACUUCAACCUUCACAAGUCCAUAGCAUUGAGCCAUGAUCAUUAAAGUGGUAUCAAAACAUAAUUAAUUCUACUAAUAUAGAAUCAUAGAGUUGGAAGGGGCCACAAGGGCCAUGUAGUCCAACAUCCUGGCACGCAGGAAUACACAACCAAUCAUUCCUGAAAGAUGUCCAUCCAACCUGGAUGUAAAGUAAGAUGAAAGAUGGCUUGUCACACAGACUACAAGGCAGAGAGGUUUUUCCUAAUGUUUGGGUGGAAUCUCUUAGAAUGUGAAUAGGGCAUCCCUUAGAUACUGAAAGAUAGUUAGGAUGUCACUAAUCAGUUUGUUCCAAGCUAAGCGUAUCCAGCUUCAGUUGUGCUCGUGAGCCCUUUCAGCUCAUAAAACAUCAUUUUGUGACACGCGAAAGGGACUUUAUUCAUUAGACACAUGCAUUUAUUUGAACUAAAGUUUUUUAUAACUGAAAUGGCCUAAGAUGACAGUGUCAUGUGGUGGGAAAUCACAGCAUUGUACAAAAUACAUCCAUUUGUACUGACCAAUUAUCACAGUUCAAAGCUGGCUUCAAACUGCAGUUGCCAGACAACAAACUCCCACAAAAGCAAACCAAAGAAAGCUCUUAAUGUGCACCAGUGCUCUGCAGUUUGUAUCUGUUGGGUGUCAUCCUGGACUCCACAAGUCUCCAGUCCCCAAUGAGUAGCUAGACUAGGAUUAGAAUGUGGGAUUCCUUUCUCUAUUCUUUCUCUAUUGGGGCCGGGCUGUGGCGCAGGCUGGUUAGUAGCCAGCUGCAAUAAAUCACUAUGACCAAGAGAUCAUAAGUUCAAGGCCAGCCUGUAAUCUUCUUUUAAUUGUUAUAGUGAGCACCCGGCAAUUAAAAUAAAAAAUAGCCCCUGCUUGUUGUUGACCUAAGCAACCCAAAAGAUAGUUGUAUCUAUCAAGUAGGAAAUGUAGGUACCACUAUGUGGGGAGGCUAAUUUAACUAAAAAUUUACGACACCAUAAAAUCAUCCAGCAGCCGUUUGGAGUGAGGAAGUCGGCAUCAGAGUGGAUGAAAAAGCAGCUGCUCCCCCUGUGGCCAGAAUUGAACAUACCCUCAGGAAGCUGGAAUCUGGAGAAGAUUAAAUUGCCUCUGUGUCUGUCUCUGUCUCUGUUCAUAUGGCAUUGAAUGUUUGCCUUAUAUGUGUAUAAUAUGAUCCUCCCUGAGUCCCCUUCGGGGUGAGAAGGGCAGAAUAUAAAUACUGUAAAUAAAAUAAAUAAAAUAUUCCUAUGCAUGCCUUCCUAGAAGGGGCUUUCUGUCUCUACUACUCUCUUCCUGUUUGCUACUAUUUCUUCCCCUAUCUGAUUGAUGUAGCAAUGUGAUGUCUUUGAGGUAUGAGGUAACAUUCUCCCUAUUGGUAUUAAUAUGGGGCCUAGGCUUUGACCACAUGGUCAGCUUCCAUUUUAUUUAUGUUUUGUCUCCUCCUGUGAGGACACAUCUUGCUAUUCUCCAGGCAAGUUGUAGCUGCAUGCACAUUGUUGAUAUCUUUACCUUUGCCUUCCUUAGAUUAGGAGAUUUAGAAAGUUAGUGCCAAGAACUUUCCUAUCCAGAAUGUAUUUCUUUUACUUCAAUAAAUACUUUUGAACUAAUAUUUUUGGCUCUGCAAUCCUGUGCCAUUCUAUGCAACCGAAGCUUAUCCCAGCUCACCACAUGUAAGUUUCUGCUGAUUAUGAAGCAUGCUUCUGCCACUCUGCUGUAUUUUUGGUGGAAUCACCCCAAGAAAGGGUUAUUUUUUUAGUCUAACCACUCAUAGAUUCCCAAUAGUAUCCUCACCAUCCAAGCCUCUAACUGGUUCCAGGAUUUCCUGUGUAAUCAUCUGCGCAAGGAAACCACUUCCUUUAAGGCUGGUUUGAAACAGCAUUAAAUGGUCAGUGUGAAGGGACCAUAAGCCAGAAAAUAGUAAACUUUUCCCUAUGUAGGUUUGACUCUGCAUAUGCCCCUCCCUUCCUGUGAGCUGGUGCCUUUCUCCAGAAAGUUCCAAGACCAAAGUUAGCUUGAAAUCAACAAGUGAGGUCACAGGUAUCACUUAUGCCAAGUGGGUGUGGAAGGUGAGGAAGAUCCUCAGUCAUUGGUCAAUUUUAGAUAAGCCAAAGGUAUAAAUUCUUUGUUUGCUGCGACAUGCUUUUGCGAUGGCUAUUUGCAUGAUACAGCCCUCUGGGGUAUGUACGGCUGUCUCCUUCUCACAACUGUGGUGAAAAUAAACUUUGAUUUUUGCAUCUCU